rnacentral:rRNA from 1 species
GAUGAACGCUGCCAGAAUGCUUAACACAUGCAAGUCUACUUGAACUUCGGUUUGGGUGGCGGACGGGUGAGUAACGCGUAAAGAACUUGCCUCACAGUUAGGGACAACAUUUGGAAACGAAUGCUAAUACCUGAUAUUAUGAUUUUAGGGCAUCCUAGGAUUAUGAAAGCUAUAUGUGCUGUGAGAGAGCUUUGCGUCCCAUUAGCUAGUUGGAGAGGUAACGGCUCACCAAGGCGAUGAUGGGUAGCCGGCCUGAGAGGGUGAACGGCCACAAGGGGACUGAGACACGGCCCUUACUCCUACGGGAGGCAGCAGUGGGGAAUAUUGGACAAUGGACCAAAAGUCUGAUCCAGCAAUUCUGUGUGCACGAUGACGUUUUUCGGAAUGUAAAGUGCUUUCAGUUGGGAAGAAAAAAAUGACGGUACCAACAGAAGAAGUGACGGCUAAAUACGUG